UACGUAGGGACCGAGCGUUGUCCGGAAUCAUUGGGCGUAAAGAGCGUGUAGGCGGCUUGUUAAGUCUUGCGUGAAAUCUCGGGGCUCAACCCCGAGCGGUCGUGAGAAACUGGCAGGCUAGAGUGCGGGAGAGGAGAGUGGAAUUCCUGGUGUAGAGGUGAAAUUCGUAGAUAUUCGCAAGAACACCAGUGGCGAAGGCGGCUCACUGGCCCGAUACUGACGCUGAGGCACGAAAGCGUGGGGAGCAAACAGG
rnacentral:rRNA from 1 species